UGGGGAAUUUUGGACAAUGGGGGCAACCCUGAUCCAGCCAUGCCGCGUGCGGGAAGAAGGCCUUCGGGUUGUAAACCGCUUUUAGUCGGAAAGAAAAGGCACGCCCUAAUACGGCGUGUUCUUGACGGUACCGGCGGAAUAAGCACCGGCUAACUACGUGCCAGCAGCCGCGGUAAUACGUAGGGUGCGAGCGUUAAUCGGAAUUACUGGGCGUAAAGCGUGCGCAGGCGGUUCGUUGUGUCUGAUGUGAAAUCCCCGGGCUCAACCCGGGAACUGCAUUGGAAACUGGCGGACUUGAGUGUGGCAGAGGGGGGUGGAAUUCCGCGUGUAGCAGUGAAAUGCGUAGAUAUGCGGAGGAACACCGAUGGCGAAGGCAGCCCCCUGGGCCAACACUGACGCUCAGGCACGAAAGCGUGGGGAGCAAACAGG
rnacentral:rRNA from 1 species